rnacentral:rRNA from 1 species
GAUGAACGCUGGCGGUCUGCUUAACACAUGCAAGUCGAACGAAACUCUUCGGAGUGAGUGGGCGGACGGGUGAGUAACGCGUGAGAAUCUGCCUGUGGUCGGGGACAACCACUGGAAACGUGGCGUAAUACCGGAUGAAGCCGAAAGGUAAAGAUUUAUUGCCCACAGAUGAGACUCGGCGUCUGAUUAGCUAGUUGGUAAGGUAAAAGCGUACCAAGGCGACGAUCAGUAGCUGGUCUGAGAGGAUGAGCAGCCACACUGGGACUGAGACACGGCCCAGACUCCUACGGGAGGCAGCAGUGGGAAUUUUCC